UACGAAAUUCAGUUUGGGUCAA
rnacentral:siRNA from 1 species